rnacentral:rRNA from 1 species
CCCGAAAGGUCGAAAGGGGAAAUUCAUUCGCGUUUCGACCGUCGGAGUUGGACGUUCGAGUGACGGACGACGUUCGCGCGUCGUCUGCGCCGUUCGUUCAUCGAACUGACGUCGAACGCGUGCACUUUUCCCCUAGUAGGACGUCGCGAUCCGUUGGGUGUUUGUCUAAGACUUGAGGUGGAGCCCGCGAGACUUAGGUCGCGCGGACCCUUGAUGUUCCGACCAACCCGCUCGACGGUAUACGAAUGGCGCCGGGCCGCUACACUUAGUUAGCGUUCGGGCCGUAGCAAGCACGUUCCGCGUUUGACGGCGAUCGGACCUGGUGCCGAUUCUGUCCCGGAACGACUGUUGGUUACGGUGUUCUCGAACAGACCCGUUGAAACGCCGAUCAGCGACGCAAUAGCUUUGGGUACUUUCAGGACCC